rnacentral:rRNA from 1 species
ACCUGGCGACGAGUGGCGAACGGGUGAGUAAUAUAUCGGAACAUACCCUAGAGUGGGGGAUAACGUAGCGAAAGUUACGCUAAUACCGCAUACGAACUCAGGUUGAAAGUGGGGGAUCGCAAGACCUCAUGCUCAUGGAGUGGCCGAUAUCUGAUUAGCUAGUUGGUAGGGUAAAAGCCUACCAAGGCGACGAUCAGUAGCUGGUCUGAGAGGACGACCAGCCACACUGGAACUGAGACACGGUCCAGACUCCUACGGGAGGCAGCAGUGGGGAAUUUUGGACAAUGGGCGCAAGCCUGAUCCAGCAAUGCCGCGUGAGUGAAGAAGGCCUUCGGGUUGUAAAGCUCUUUUGUCAGGGAAGAAACGGUGGUUCCUAAUACGGACUACUAAUGACGGUACCUGAAGAAUAAGCACCGGCUAACUACGUGCCAGCAGCCGCGGUAAUACGUAGGGUGCAAGCGUUAAUCGGAAUUACUGGGCGUAAAGCGUGCGCAGGCGGUUAUAUAAGUCAGAUGUGAAAUCCCCGGGCUCAACCUGGGAACUGCAUUUGAGACUGUAUGGCUAGAGUGUGUCAGAGGGGGGUAGAAUUCCACGUGUAGCAGUGAAAUGCGUAGAUAUGUGGAGGAAUACCGAUGGCGAAGGCAGCCCCCUGGGAUAACACUGACGCUCAUGCACGAAAGCGUGGGGAGCAAACAGGAUUAGAUACCCUGGUAGUCCACGCCCUAAACGAUGUCUACUAGUUGUCGGGACUUAAUUGUCUUGGUAACGCAGCUAACGCGUGAAGUAGACCGCCUGGGGAGUACGGUCGCAAGAUUAAAACUCAAAGGAAUUGACGGGGACCCGCACAAGCGGUGGAUGAUGUGGAUUAAUUCGAUGCAACGCGAAAAACCUUACCUACCCUUGACAUGGA